GGCCUGGGAAGGAAGGCCCCAGCCCUAGUGAUGGGAGUUGAGGCCUGGCUUGGGCAAUGCUGGCUGGCGAGGCCUGGCCGAGGAUGCUGCGAGGGCAGCCGAGCCGUGCCGAGCGGUGCCGAGCCGUGCCAGGGCCCCCUCCCCAGUUUGGGGGGCUCCGUCUCUUCCCACAGUGGCCGCGGCCCGGCCAGGAGCGGGGCGAGAGGAGCCCCCAGAGCCCCUCUUGUCCCUGCCACAUCCCACCCUGUCCCCUGGUGGAGCAGGGGACGUGAAAAUGCUGAAAGUUGGGGAGACAGAGAGGGGAAUUUUUACACGUCAGAGUCGCUCGCCGGGUCCUGUGACAGCAGCCUAUAUAUUUAUUGUCCCCCAUCUCCUCUGCUCCCUGCGUGUGCAUGUAUGCAGGCACACGAGUCCGCGUGUGUGGUGUGUGUGAGGGUGUUUUUACAUAUGUACACUGCUCGCAGGGCUCGGCAGGUGAGGCCGGCGUUUAACACUUGGUUUUUGGAAAACCCGGGGAGCAAAUCUCAGCUCCCUGCUCGCCCUCCGCGCUCUGCCGCGCCGCUCAGAGAACAGCCCUACCUGCAGCUGGUUUUCACACUACGCCCCCCACGCCUGCCCCCCCGCCAGAAAUAGCGCUUAGAAGUUGUCACUGCUCAUCUCCAGAAUGAACUUUUCCUUCCCGCAGGGGACAAGGGGACGAGAGAGAGGGGCUGGCACGGCCCCGUGUUGGGUUACACCAGGGGGAAAGAGGGAGACAGAGAAAGGGAAGGAAAGGGAAAAAAAAAAAAAAAAAAAAAAAAAAAAAAAGAAAGAAAGAAAGAAGAAAAAAUAAAUAAAUACACACAUCGAACCCUAAAUCCUUUCAAAGCUCAGAUCCCCGAGCCUGAGGAAAGCGGAGUGUGGGCGACAGAGGGGAAAUGAGGGCUGAGCCCCUCAGAGAUGCUCGGCGCGCUGUCCUCUGCCCAUCCCGGACCCGCAGAGGUUAGAGAGCGAUCACAGCUCAUUUCCCAAUUACACGCGAGCUGUGGCCGUUUCUGCGCGCCCCUGCAAUUCGCCGGGGAGAGGAGAGGAAAGAGGAGAGGAGAUGCCUCCCGCCGGCUGCGCUUCGCUCGCACCCGGGACACGGCCGUGGGCACGGGGACGGGGCGCCGCGGGGGACUUCUCCCAUUCUCCCCACGACCCCCAUGAACUUCCCCGGCCCUCCCAGCACCGUCUGUCUGGGGCGAUGCUGCAGUCUCCUUUUCCCUGGGCAAGGCAGCGAAGGGUCCGCGGAGUGGCGAGGGGAGCCCGCACCUCCCCGCCGCGCUCCCCUUUCCCGCAGCAGCGCGACUCGGGUGGGUUUGAGCUGUUCCCCCCCCGCCCGCUCCUGUUCGUCUCGUCUCGGAGGCAUCUGAUUGCUGCCCCUUUAAUCUGUUGACACUAUCACGCAGAUAAACAGGCUGCCAUCGAUCUUUUCAUUAGGUGAUCGCAUAACAAACAGAGCAGACGCAGUCUUUCGACCCAGAGCGAAUUUCAGACCUCUCGCAGAAGGGGGAGGUUUCGGGGAAGGAAGGCUUGCGAGGAAGGAGCCUCGCGGAGGUGGACGCUUAGAAAGAAGGGGUUUCUCCCUCUCCUCCUCGGCGCAGCGGCUACAUGUUU